ensembl:lncRNA
AGCUUUAUAUAGCCUGGGAGGUCCAGGAGCCCAGCGCUGAUUUAUGACCAGCCUGCUGAAAGCCCGUGGAAGCCGAGGUGGGGAGAGUGGCCAGCAGGUUGCCAAGCUGGCUGAUGACCCUCCUGGAAUGAGACAGGACCAUGGAAGACAUUUUUAAACAUUGUGUCAAGAAAGCAAAACCAAGGGAGGCACAAUCCCCCUCGACCUUGAUGCCGGAUUCGCACCUGCUGGCAGAAGGGAGGCCCAUGCAUCACCAACCCCCGUGUGCUGGUUCCCCGAGGCUCAAGGUCAUGAGAGUUCACCUGCCCAUCUGCGUCCAUGUGUGCUGCCCGGAUCAUCUCCUCCACCUCCUGGUUGUUCAGCUUCUUUCCCAGCCAGGUCAUUGCAUGCCGCCGCUUGGCGGUGCUGACCAGAAUUUUGCUGUCCUUGUCAAAGACGUGGAAGGCCUCCCAGAUGUGGUCCUCGCUGUCGCCAGCCUUCACCUUCCAGGCCAUCAGGCCCAGGAGCUCGGGGAAACCCACAGGGCCCCUGCCGUCGCAGUCCAGUUCACCCACCACUUUCUGGAGCUCGGCCUUGGUAGGGUUCGGGCCCAGUGGCCACAAGACAGUGCCAAGCUCCUGCAUGGGAAUGGUGCUGUUGCUGUCUGAGUGGAACAGGGAGAAGGCCUCCUAGACCUCAGCUACUUGCUCCUUGCUCAGUUGCUUGGCCAUGACCAUUGCUAGGAGGUGGCUGGGCAUGCAGGGAAGUGGCCGUGUGUGUGUGGAGAUGGCCUUGUGCAUGUGCAGGUGGCCAGGUGCGUGGACAGGUGGCCGAGAGCACACGGAGGUGGCUGUGCUGCACGAGCCCAUCUUUCACCGGCACUUAAAAGCAGCCGGGUUGUCCCUCCCCUCGCAUGCUCCCCACCCUGCGGUUGCCUAGAGCCCAGGUCCUGUUGGGACAGGAGUCCAGGACCAGGCAGCAGGCUGGCCAGCUGGUUGCACUGAUGCCAGCAGCUCUGGGAAUGGCCAGACCCUUGUCCCUACUGGCCGGAGCUGCGGGGACAGCUUCAGAGAGGUGAGUGGACAGCCUCGAGAGGGAUGAGUUCUGGGUUUGCCUACUGGACUCGCCCAGUUCCCACUCUUUCUCCUCCAGUCUUCACACCUUCCACACUUAGUAAAAGCACCAGCCCUGAGCCCUCUCCUCCCUGUGAGUUUGGGUUGGGUUUAGAGGAUGACCUAUGAAAAGAAGACUUGAUAAACUAAGUGCUAUAGCUGGACGGUGUGUCCCCACAAGAUCAUAUGUUGGGGGACGUGUCCAUGAAAGACCACGAGGGCAGGGGCAGGAGAAGCGCUGGCCGUGGGUGUGAAGCUGACACGGUGUCCGGGGGGACCAGAGGCCAGCAUGCCUGGGUCACAUUGCCUGACACUGUCCGGUGGAUGGGCUGCCAUAUUCUGUGUCCUGCCCUCCUCACCUGCAAGGCGUAAGUGGCCAACAGGAGUCUGCAUGUUUCUGGGUCAGAGCCUGAGUGGACUCUUCAUAAAGCAAGUUGAAAGGGAGCUCAGGAAGGGUUUUAGAGUUGCGCCUGACUCACAGGACACUGUGCUGUGAUGACUGAAUUGUUGCAAACUGCUGGUUAGGAAACUAUGACAGAGGGAAUGUUUUUAAUUUCCUGAGCUGUGUGUUUUUCCCCCUGUGGCCUCUUAGGGUGGUGAUUCCCUUCCCUGCAGGAUCUAUUUGUGGUCUUCAGUCCCAUUUAUACAUUUAAGGAUUACUGCAGACUGUAAAGAGCCUUUAAAAAUGUCUAUCAAUAUUUUCUGUGUUUGACAUGAGAACUAAUAAAAUUUUAAUAUAUGUAAAUGUAUUUUAUGUAUUCAUAACUUUUUGUAAGGCAUGUAGAAUUUUAUUAAAUUUUUUUUUACUGGAG